AUGGGAAAAUAUUGGUGGAGCAACUCCAUCGAUAGGCGAUCCUUGCAUUGGCUAUCAUGUGAGAAACUGUCAGUACCAAAGGUUCAGGGAGGCAUGGGUUUUAGAGAGCUCGAGAAAUUCAAUCUGGCGCUUCUCGGGAAGCAUGGCUGGCGGCUAAUAACCCACCCCAACUCCCUUUGCUCUUGUGUCCUCAAGGGGAAAUAUUUCCCACACUGUGACUUCAUGCAGGCCAAUGCCCCAUCCUCCUCAUCAGCGACAUGGAAAGCUAUUAUUGCGGGAAGA
rnacentral:rRNA from 1 species